CUCACACCCACGAUCAUAGAAGUAGGUCUCGGCACUUGCUAAGGAAGACCGCAUGAAAAUUUAGUCGUGUAAUAGUCGUGAAAAAUCAUCGUGGAAGGUUAAUAAAGUAUACGAUCUUACGAAGGUGAAAGAAAUGAAGAGUGUCCCUAUCUCUGUUUGAGAUAUUCAUAGCGUGUCAAGCGUGCGCAGAACGAGAACCUUCUUGUUUUUCAUGUUGGUUUUUCACAAGUUAGUUACGACUCAAUUUUCGAAUGAUUUUUCCUAUGCUUCGGCAAAGAGGAAAUCUCCUCUUUGGCUUUGGUGGUACACCGAGCGGUCAAAUGCUGGAAGAUGUUCCACGCUAGCAUAUACAAGAACCUAUUUACAUAGUUCCACCACAAACGAGGUAUAAUCGACUGUGUGUCCACUCUACAGAACCUAUUUCAUUGUACGGUUCUACGGAAAAGUUCAUACUUUCCUAUCCGAUAAAAACGCUUAUUAGAAUAACAAAAUCGCACAAUAAUUACACUAAGUUACCUCAGAAUGAGAAGUUAAUUGUUUAUUAAAUUUAUUUUAGAAAAAUUAAUAAAUAUAUUUUUAUAUCUUUAUACAUUCUUUUAAUAUUAAUAUUAUAUUUUCUUAAAUAUUAAAUUUUUACAACUUAUAUUGAUAAGUUUUUGAUUAUUUUUAUUUAUUAUAAUUCGCCUACAUAUUCUUACAAUUUUGUAGAUGAAAAUUUUAAUUAAAAUAUUUAAAACAUAAGAAACUGCUAUACCAUGAACAUAAUUUCUUGAUUAAUUUUUUUAAAAUAAAAAACCAUGCGUUUGAAUUCUUUUGGGACUGUUUACUAUGAACCUAAAAUAUUGAAUGAACAUACAACUAACU
rnacentral:misc_RNA from 1 species